ACGAUGAGUGCUGAAUGUGGGGAUUUUUUAUCUCUGUGUUGUAGCUAACGCGUUAAGCACUCCGCCUGGGGACUACGGUCGCAAGACUAAAACUCAAAGGAAUUGACGGGGACCCGCACAAGCGGUGGAGCAUGUGGUUUAAUUCGAUGCAACGCGAAAAACCUUACCACUUCUUGACAUGGAGAUUAGAUCCUUCUUAACGGAAGGGCGCAGUUAGGCUGGAUCUUGCACAGGUGCUGCAUGGCUGUCGUCAGCUCGUGUCGUGAGAUGUUGGGUUAAGUCCCGCAACGGGCGUAACCCUCACCCUUAGUUGCCAGCGGGUUAAGCCGGGCACUUUAAGGAAACUGCCAGUGGUAAACUGGAGGAAGGUGGGGAUGAUGUCAAGUCAGCAUGGCCCUUAUGGGGUGGGCUACACACGUGCUACAAUGGUGACUACAAUAGGUUGCAAUGCCGUAAGGCUGAGCUAAUCCGUAAAAGUCAUCUCAGUUCGGAUUGUCCUCUGCAACUCGAGGGCAUGAAGUAGGAAUCGCUAGUAAUCGUGGAUCAGCAUGCCACGGUGAAUACGUUCUCGGGUCUUGUACACACUGCCCGUCACGCCAUGGGAAUUGGCUUAACUCGAAGCUGGUGCGCCAACCGAAAGGAGGCAGCC
rnacentral:rRNA from 1 species